UUAAGUUAUUAAGGGCGCACGGUGGAUGCCUUGGCACUAGAAGCCGAUGAAGGACGUUACUAACGACGAUAUGCUUUGGGGAGCUGUAAGUAAGCUUUGAUCCAGAGAUUUCCGAAUGGGGAAACCCAGCAUGAGUUAUGUCAUGUUAUCGAUAUGUGAAUACAUAGCAUAUCAGAAGGCACACCCGGAGAACUGAAACAUCUUAGUACCCGGAGGAAGAGAAAGAAAAUUCGAUUCCCUUAGUAGCGGCGAGCGAAACGGGAAGAGCCCAAACCAACAAGCUUGCUUGUUGGGGUUGUAGGACACUCUAUACGGAGUUACAAAGGACGACAUUAGACGAAUCAUCUGGAAAGAUGAAUCAAAGAAGGUAAUAAUCCUGUAGUCGAAAAUGUUGUCUCUCUUGAGUGGAUCCUGAGUACGACGGAGCACGUGAAAUUCCGUCGGAAUCUGGGAGGACCAUCUCCUAAGGCUAAAUACUCUCUAGUGACCGAUAGUGAACCAGUACCGUGAGGGAAAGGUGAAAAGCACCCCGGAAGGGGAGUGAAAUAGAACCUGAAACCGUGUGCUUACAAGUAGUCAGAGCCCGUUAAUGGGUGAUGGCGUGCCUUUUGUAGAAUGAACCGGCGAGUUACGAUUUGAUGCAAGGUUAAGCAGUAAAUGUGGAGCCGUAGCGAAAGCGAGUCUGAAUAGGGCGUUUAGUAUUUGGUCGUAGACCCGAAACCAGGUGAUCUACCCUUGGUCAGGUUGAAGUUCAGGUAACACUGAAUGGAGGACCGAACCGACUUACGUUGAAAAGUGAGCGGAUGAACUGAGGGUAGCGGAGAAAUUCCAAUCGAACCUGGAGAUAGCUGGUUCUCUCCGAAAUAGCUUUAGGGCUAGCCUCAAGUGAUGAUUAUUGGAGGUAGAGCACUGUUUGGACGAGGGGCCCCUCUCGGGUUACCGAAUUCAGACAAACUCCGAAUGCCAAUUAAUUUAACUUGGGAGUCAGAACAUGGGUGAUAAGGUCCGUGUUCGAAAGGGAAACAGCCCAGACCACCAGCUAAGGUCCCAAAAUAUAUGUUAAGUGGAAAAGGAUGUGGCGUUGCCCAGACAACUAGGAUGUUGGCUUAGAAGCAGCCAUCAUUUAAAGAGUGCGUAAUAGCUCACUAGUCGAGUGACACUGCGCCGAAAAUGUACCGGGGCUAAACAUAUUACCGAAGCUGUGGAUUGUCCUUUGGACAAUGGUAGGAGAGCGUUCUAAGGGCGUUGAAGCAUGAUCGUAAGGACAUGUGGAGCGCUUAGAAGUGAGAAUGCCGGUGUGAGUAGCGAAAGACGGGUGAGAAUCCCGUCCACCGAUUGACUAAGGUUUCCAGAGGAAGGCUCGUCCGCUCUGGGUUAGUCGGGUCCUAAGCUGAGGCCGACAGGCGUAGGCGAUGGAUAACAGGUUGAUAUUCCUGUACCACCUAUAAUCGUUUUAAUCGAUGGGGGGACGCAGUAGGAUAGGCGAAGCGUGCGAUUGGAUUGCACGUCUAAGCAGUAAGGCUGAGUAUUAGGCAAAUCCGGUACUCGUUAAGGCUGAGCUGUGAUGGGGAGAAGACAUUGUGU
rnacentral:rRNA from 1 species